rnacentral:rRNA from 1 species
GUAACCUGCCUGUAAGACUGGGAUAACUCCGGGAAACCGGGGCUAAUACCGGAUGCUUGUUUGAACCGCAUGGUUCAAACAUAAAAGGUGGCUUCGGCUACCACUUACAGAUGGACCCGCGGCGCAUUAGCUAGUUGGUGAGGUAAUGGCUCACCAAGGCAACGAUGCGUAGCCGACCUGAGAGGGUGAUCGGCCACACUGGGACUGAGACACGGCCCAGACUCCUACGGGAGGCAGCAGUAGGGAAUCUUCCGCAAUGGACGAAAGUCUGACGGAGCAACGCCGCGUGAGUGAUGAAGGUUUUCGGAUCGUAAAGCUCUGUUGUUAGGGAAGAACAAGUACCGUUCGAAUAGGGCGGUACCUUGACGGUACCUAACCAGAAAGCCACGGCUAACUACGUGCCAGCAGCCGCGGUAAUACGUAGGUGGCAAGCGUUGUCCGGAAUUAUUGGGCGUAAAGGGCUCGCAGGCGGUUUCUUAAGUCUGAUGUGAAAGCCCCCGGCUCAACCGGGGAGGGUCAUUGGAAACUGGGGAACUUGAGUGCAGAAGAGGAGAGUGGAAUUCCACGUGUAGCGGUGAAAUGCGUAGAGAUGUGGAGGAACACCAGUGGCGAAAGCGACUCUCUGGUCUGUAACUGACGCUGAGGAGCGAAAGCGUGGGGAGCGAACAGGAUUAGAUACCCUGGUAGUCCACGCCGUAAACGAUGAGUGCUAAGUGUUAAGGGGUUUCCGCCCCUUAGUGCUGCAGCUAACGCAUUAAGCACUCCGCCUG